UGCUACCAAGAUCGCGAUGGUGCCCGGUGCAAGCCGGGAGAAUAGGGAAACCGGUGCGCGGAUCGCCUCCUGCGAGACGAUGUGCAAUUCCGGUGCUGCCCCCGCAACUGUGAGCGGAGAGCGCCCCCUUCAUGCCACUGCUUCCGGAAACGGGAGCGGGAAGGCGGAGAGGCGCGAUGACCUGCGAGCCAGGAGACCUGCCAUCGCCGAUGCAACACC
rnacentral:ncRNA from 2 species